UGAACGGCAUCCGCCAUUUUGAAGUGUCGGCUUUGCAUUGUUUUUUCCCAUCUUCGUUGGUGAAUCCGACAAUAUAGAGGAAGACAUCAAAAGAAGGCUUUUGAAUGCUUUGGAAACAAUUUCCCCAAGAAGCAGAUGAAUUUACUUACAAAAGUAAUCCCCCAAAGCAGUUGUUAGGGCUGGCAUCCAAACAUUCUUGAGCCAUGGAAACCAAAAGUGGAAUGUUUUGCUUAACACCUACUUUGAACAGAAUUUUACCAAGGGAAAAAAUAUCACUGGCUUUGCUACAGGGAGAACCACUAAGAACCUCAGUAGCAAUAUGUGGAUAACAGAUGCUGUACUUCUUUGCAGGAGGAAAGGAGCUGUUGCAUGCUUUUCCAAAAUCGAUGAUGUAGCCAUGUUUGUUACUCACAAGAACAUUAUUAGCCUUCAAAUCACAGUGAAGAAAGCCUUUUGUGUGAAUAUGUGAAAGGGCUUCUGUCAAAUCAUGUGAAAUAAUUAACCAGUCAUUUGUUAUGAGUGAGCUUUGCACAUUCUGUAUUGUUGCAUUGUUUUUCUGACAAGACAAUAGUUUGCUUAUUGUUACAGAUGUAUUGUCUUCCCCUUUAAACUCCAUUAUUAAGGAAAUGGGCUGCUUUUGAAGCUGUACACCUAUUAUGGUUGGGAUAUUUUUAUGUGCGAGUACCUGCAUAAUGUGAGCCUCCUUCAUUAUCUCUGUGGUGUCCUGCAUCAGAGACUGUUUUUCCACAACCUUUAUAUCAAAUCGUGUGUACUGUCUUAGAAGGCAUCGACUAUAGGAUCCUUCUACCAGUAUUAUAUUCUCUCCAUUGGUUGGAAGAAGUUCAGUAUGAUUGAUUAAGUUUACAGUGGAAUAUUUGGUACUUGCAUUCCUUUUAAAAAACUGGAAA